UACGGAGGGGGUUAGCGUUGUUCGGAAUGACUGGGCGUAAAGCGCGCGUAGGCGGGCUGGAAAGUUGGGGGUGAAAUCCCGGGGCUCAACCCCGGAAUGGCCUUCAAGACUCCCAGCCUAGAGUUCGAGAGAGGUGAGUGGAAUUCCGAGUGUAGAGGUGAAAUUCGUAGAUAUUCGGAGGAACACCAGUGGCGAAGGCGGCUCACUGGACCGGUACUGACGCUGAUGCGCGAAAGCGUGGGGAGCAAACGGG
rnacentral:rRNA from 1 species